rnacentral:lncRNA from 1 species
GGCUACCAGAGUUCUCUUAUGGUGUCCAUAUGCCUUAGAUGCCCAAGGCUUUUUUGGAUGGUUGCCUUGGAGAAAGAGAAAAAGUAUAUUAGGGAGAAUAACAUGUGUAAUUAAGUUGUACGUAUAUUAUGAUAUAUGACUAACACACACCAUCUAUUUAUAGAGGUAUGUACCACAAUCUCACUUUCACACGAUCUCUGUAGUUAGGAGUGUUCUGAAAUCCUCAACCUCCACUUAGGAUAAGAC